AUGAGCCCUGAGAAUGAAAAGAAAGGUAAAAGACAUUACUGGCCCACAAGGAGCUUACAAUCUAAUGGGGGAAACAAGAAAAAAUAUGUACAAACAAGCUAUAUACAGGAUAAAUAGGAAGUAAUUAGUAGAGGAAAAGGCACUAGAAUUAACUAGAAUUAACUUCAAAGUUACCAGUGAUGUCUUAUUUUCUUAUUUUCCAAACCAAAUAUCCUUUUCCCAGUCAUCAUCCUUUUUGACCUCUCUGAAGCUCUUGACACCACUUGAUCACUUUCUCCUCCUGGAUGCUUUUUUUUUUAAAACAUUUUUGUGACUACUUUCUCAGUUCUCUUUUUAUCUGUCUAACCACUCAUUAAUGUCCUCUCCUAAGUCUUCAUCUAGGUUAUGCUCACUAAUCAUGAUUAUUCCCAGCGCUCUGUCUUGAGCUCUCCUAUAUUAAGGUUCUUAGACUGGGCUCCAUAAACUUGUUAAAAAGAUAUUUUGAUAAUUGUAUUUCAUUAAAGUUAGUCUCCCUUAUAAUCAUACAUACUUUAUUUUAUGCAAUUAAAAUGAUUAUGAGAAGGCAUCGAUAGGUUUCAUCAGACUGUCAAAAAGAUCCAUGACACACACAAAAAUUUAAGAACCCUGCUUUAUAUUAAUUUUCUUGGUGAUCUUGUCAGUUCCUAUGGAUUCAAUGAUUUCUCUAUAUAGUUGACUCCCAGAUCUAUAUAUUCAACUGUGAAGAUGGGAUUAAAUCUCCCCAACCCAUUUUUUUUUGGUUUAAUCACCAGAAGCAUAUACACCCCACUUAUCCUUAAGAGGGGGAGGUCUGUGACCCAUGUGUGUGCAAGUGGGUGACAAAUCAGAGCCCACUGACUACCCCCUGGGCAGUCCUAAGAAAAUUUAUAGACUGUAAUUGGACCAUGUAAAGUGGAAGGAAGGCACAGGAAAUGAUGAAAGGCAUGGUCUUUAAAAGUGCCAAGGACUUCCUGUGAGAGGUCUUUCACCUAGGAACUUGACUGGAAGGAGCUUGGGAACCUCAAACUGGUCUUGAAUUUUCCCUUAGGACUACCCCAUGGGUGAAUGAAAAAGGCUGAUUCCUUUUCCUGUUUUUUUUUUUUUUGUUUUGUUUUUCUGGAGAUACUAGCCUCUGGAGAGACUCCUCUUAGAGGUAGUCUUGUGGCUAAAACCCUUGAUUAAUUUACCUUUGGGCCUCCUUUGCUGGGGCCUCUAAAGCCCUGCCUGGUUCCGACCAGGCUGGAGUAAAUAUCUACUCUCUCUGAUUUUCUUACUUUCACCCUUUCUCUUUUUGUAAACAAAUUACCAUAAAAAUUCAUUUGGAAUUGAGUAAUAAUUCCUGGCGACCACAUUCUUAUACAUUUAGUUUAACCCUUUUAUUUUUUUAUGCCCUUACAAUUUGGUCCUUAUACAACCCUAAUCUUUUUCCAGUUUUUCACUCUCACAUCAGUUGCCUCUUAAAUGUGUUAAAUUAGAUAUCCAAUAAGCAUCCCAAACACAACAACUUCACAAUAGAAAUGGUUAUCUUUCACCCUUAAAUCCUUCCUUUUUCUCAGUUUUCCUUUUACUGUUGAGAGCCUCCCAUGCAGCUGGGCUUAUAAUUUCUGUGUCAUUCUCAACUCUUUACUUUUAUUCACCUCACAAUAUAAUACAUUGUUAAAUCUCGUCUUUUCUGCCUUCAUGAUACAUCCAUAUGUAUACCCUUUUCUCAACUUACACAGCUGCCACCCUGGUAUAGACUCUUAUCACCUCUCACCUAGACUAUUUCAAUAGGCAGGCUAAUUGGCUUCCUUGCCUGAUCUCUCCCCACCCUAUUCUAAGGCCACUUAGUUGCUAAGUAGUUCAUGUUACUUCCCUGCUUAGUAAAAUCCAAUAACUCCUUACUACUGCUAGGAUCAAAUAUAAAAUCUUCUUUUUGGCAUUUAAAUCCUUUGACAUUAGCUUUUUCUACUUUGUAGUCUUUUUAAAAAAAAUAUCACCUUCAGUCUUAGAAUCAAUAUUGUGUAUUGGUUCCAAGGCAGAAGAGCAGUAUAAGGGCUAGGCAUUGGAGAUUCAUACAGGUAGGAAGUAUCUGAGGCUAGAUUUGAACCCAGGUCAUCCUGUCCUAGGCCUGGCUCUCAGUCUACUGUGCCACCUAGCCACCCACUCCUCUAUCUCUAGUCUUACAUUUUCUCCCCAGAUUCUAUGAUCCAGCUGUAUUGAUCUGCUUAUUACUCCUUACAUAUGUCUCUUUGACUUCCAAACUUAGUGGAUUUGCAUUGGAUUUUCCACAUGUCUCUCUUUCUCCUUACUUCUUCCUCCUAGCUUCCUUGGCAUACUUCAAGACUAUGCAGGAUGCCUUCCUGGUUUCACUACUGUUGAUAGUUCCUUCUUUCAAAAAUGACUUCCUAUUUAUACUAUUUAUAUCUUUAAUUUACCUAAUUAUUUAUAUGUUGUAUCCUCUAUUAGAAUGUGAACUCCUUGAGAGGGAGAGUGUAAGGACCAUGUUUAUCUAUCUAUCUAUCUAUCUAUCUAUCUAUCUAUCUAUCUAUCUAUCUAUCUAUCUAUCUAUCUAUCUAUCUACAUAUACAUAUAUCUGUAUCUAUAGCUAUCCCUAGCUACAUCUCUCUCUCUGUCUCUGUCUUUCUCUUUAUCUAGCUAUAUCUCUUUGUCUCUAGUCUUUAGCACAGGGUCUGUCACAGAGUAAGUGCUUAAUAAAUUUUUGUUGACUUACAGUGCUUCACUAUCAAUUUCUUCUCUAGUCUAGAAUUAUCUUUAUCUGAUAUUCUUUCAGAUAUUAGGUAUAUGAGCCUGGGUUCAAAAGGAAAUCCUCUCCACUUUACUCCUAUCUCUCCUGAAGUUCUGAGGGAUGACCUUUUCAGUUCUUUGGAGCUUUUAGUGUUCAUGACUUGUAGCUAAACUGUAGUACUGAUAGAAUAUUGGAAUUAAAAGUGACCUGGUAUUCUAAAGAGAAGUUAGAGGUCAUUAAAAGAAUGUUGCAAUUACCCAAUUCUAAUCUAGCCUGGCCUCUUCCUUCUAUUCUAGUCUAAGCCCACUACACUAUCUAUUUGCAAUAUUUGUCCAAAGGAGAUAUAUAUCUUUUUAGCAAUCCUGUGUGACCGGGUAAAGCUUACCAGGUUAUUAAGUGAUAGAGCUAGGAUUUGGACCCAGGUCAUAAGAUCAUAGGAUCACAGGGCUAAAGCAGGAGGCCAUUUAAUUCAAGCCCCUUCAUUUUGCAGAUGAGGAAAGGGAGGACAGAAAGGCUAUGUAAUUUGCCUAAGGUCACAUAGAUAAUUAAUGGCAAGUCCAUCCAAACUCUAAACCUAUGUCUCUUUUCCACUAUACCUCACUGGCCCUUCUUAUAAUUAUUGGAGGACAGCUAUCAUUUUUGUCAGAUUUCUUUAAUAUCCUAUUUAGUUCCAUGAUUCUUUUCUCUCCCACACAGUUAAUUAUUCACACAUUAAACUUUAAACAGCCUUCUAAAGAUUUUACAUGAUGGUAAAUGACUUUGAUAAUUAGGUAUAUGAUUAAAACCCAAUAUUGAUAAAAAUAGUAUUUCCCUGAAUUCUCUGGCACCUUCUGGAGUCUGUAGCUACUAUUCUAAACAGAUGAUACUUUUAACCACUUGUUUUUUUCAGUUAACAUUUAUGUACAGAUACCCAUUCCACAUUGUGAUGUCUUCUACUGUGGUUUCCAUAUAUCAUGGGUCAGCAUAAGAAUUAAAUGGAAAUUUUAAAGGAGUUUUGCAGCAGCCACAGAUGACGCAAAGACCAGCAGACAACCCAGAAAAAGUUUAGAAACUCAAAAAUUCAUAAAAUAUAUCUAUAGUAUUGUAUAACAUCCACACAUUUUCUCUUUUAACACCACAAAUAAAUACCACAUUAAAGAGAAAGGAAAGAUUUGGACUUCUCUGGUAUGAAGAAAGGGUCAAAAAAAUUUACUAGAAUUUUCUAGACUAACUCCCAAGAUGUGGAAGAGAUUCCUCUAUUUGCUAUCUCUCACCUUUCCCUUCUGUUAAAAGAGUCUUCCAUACCAAAAAAAAAAAGAUUUAAGAAUCCAUUUGGUACACCCAGAAUUUUCUUUAUCCUUUCUCUGUCCUUUUGAUUUUAUCACUUUUUUCUUCUUUUUUACUCCAGCUUGCUCCAUCUAGUCAGAAAUACUUCUUUAAACCCUCCUACCUCAACAGUUUAUUCUUCUCCAAGUCCUCCUGCCAUUCCCUUAAUAAUAAGUUUCACAAGCUCCUUUCUGUCUGGAUAAAGGAAUAAAGAUAAGAAGGGAGCUGCAACCUCAGAAAAACAAGUACCAGGAAUCUUGUCCUUAAAGUUUUAAAAAUAAAUUCAGUUUGGGGGGAAGAAGGAGGAAGAAAAGGGCAGGCCUUGCUAGGAGAAAGUUCUUUAAGAAGAUGUAUAGAAACUGUCAUCUAGUAAUUUAUUCUAACUAAUUAUUGUUACCAACUAGGUGUUAAUCUCAGCUGUUUCUAUACAGCCUAAGGACUUCAAGUGUUUUUAUCUCCUUUUAAAUUUUAGCAUCCUAUGUCAGAGGACCAGUUUCAGAUUUGGGAGGGCAUUUCUAUCCUCCACUAAUGCCUAAAAUGUAGUGAGUACCCUGUAUUGCUUGUAUUUGAGAAUCCAGAAAUUUGUGUAAUGGUUAACAUUUCAUACAUGUAUGAAUCUUUGGUUGUUAUUGUUUUUUCUGGGAUCUGGAAUUUUAUCUAUAUACUAGAAAACCCCCAGGGAGUAAAUUCCCUCUCCUGAUAAGACUGUUUUUGAAAUGCCCAGUUUUAGAGUUGCCUGAGGGCAAUGAGAGGGGGUAAAUGACUUUUUCAACUUUAAAUAACCAGUUUCCCUCAAAGGCAGAACUUGAACCUAGCUCUUCCUAACUUAGAGGCCUCCUGUCCAUUCACUAUGUAGUCUAUCAAUCCAUUUUUUUUUAAACCCUUAUCUUCUGCUUUAGAAUUGAUACAAAAUAUUGUUUGUAAAACAGAAUGAAGAGUGGUAAGGGCUAGGCUAUCUGGAUUAAAUUACUUGCCCAGGGCCACCUAACUAGGAAGUACAUGAGGUCACAUCUGAAUCCAGGUCUUCCAGACUCCAGACCUGGAGCUUUAUCCACUGUACUGCCUAGCAACCCUUGUAGCUCUUCAUGAGCCAGAAAUCUGGCAAACUCUCACAGGGCCCUUUAUCCUGUAUGUACUGCUUUUAUAUUUAGCAGCAAAAAGGUGCUUGGGAAAUAUAUAUGUGGGAACCUAAUUCUUGGUCCCAAUUGGGACUCCUGGUCCCAAUGAAAUGCAAACUCCUUAGCAGGUUGUAAAUAAUGUAACAGGAAGUCAUGUUUAUACCAAUAUCAUUUUUGUAAAUAAAAUGGAGAGGAUGAAAAAUGCAUCUUUGGCUACGUGAGAGAGUUACUGGAAUUGUAGGGAACUGGUACCAGGUAUUCCUUGGCUUUUUUUAAACUUCCAACAAACUUGUUUUGCUUGUAAGAAUAAUAUUUACAUAGAGCUUUACAGUUUCCAAAGUUUAUAUUUAUAUAGUGCUUCAUGUUUAUAUAGUGUUUUCAGUUUACAAAGUACAAAUCUUCCUAAUUUCCCAUUUUACAGUUGAAGAAACUGAGUUUCAGAUCGUUUAGGGGAUAUGUCCAUUGUUACAGAAGUACUUAGUGUAGGGAUUGGGACUGAAACUCAGACUUAAUGGCCCCCGCUGAAGUACUAUUUCUUUACCACAUUGGCUCCAUACAAACCAUCUCUUUACCCCCCAACUUUUUCCUCACCUCUAUAAACCUUCAUUAUGUUUAUUUAUUUUAGUGAGAAAGGAUAAAAGGGUAAGAAAUGUAGCUUUUUUGCCUCUAGACCUUGCCUGAUACAUCUGGGUUAGGGAACUCUACUUUUCAUUUCCUUCAUUUGUGGGAAAAAUUAAUGAAAAGAACAUGGAAACCCUUCUCAAAGAAAUUAAACCCAGAAGUUCUCUGCCUCAUGUGGAACUCAUAUAUUGAAUUUAGCACUUGGUAAGCUGUGAUUAUUAUAAUCAUUCAUCUUUUUGAUACCACUAUACCAAAAUAUUUAAAUAUAUAAAGGCUCUUAUCAUCAAUGAAAAGUAUGAUAUAUAUAGCCUGUCAUAGUGGAUGUGAGAGAGAAGAAAAAUGGUCAGGUAUGUUUCCCCAAGAUCUAAAAAGUAUCUUACAUGAUAGAAGGGCCUUAAAGAAAUAGUUGGAGGUAGGAAGGUCUGGAACAAAAGUCAAAAUGAGACUUGACAAAUCUGGCCACAGAAACAUUGAUGAGAAAGUAUUUGAUAGAGCAAUUGUUUAUAUGGUACCAACCAAACCUGGCUUAAGUAAGUCUAUGAUGGAAAACAGUAGUAACAAUUGUAAGUAGUACUCGAAUCUCAAAAGCACAUCUUUGUAGUUUAUUUACAAUGUCUUGAAGAAUUUUUUUCUCAUAUUAGUAUUGGUUUGACUAACAGUAGCCACAUGUGCUUAAGGCAAUAAUAUUCUAUAUUAAAUCAGACCUAGUAUUUAUGGAUGCAUUUUUAGAUAGGUGAUACAGUAAUUGCCCAUCUUCUUUUUAAAUUUGAAACUUACCAGUAAAUCUCCUUUCAAUUUAGUUCUAAUAAGUACUGCCUCUCUGUCUGUCUCUGCACUUAGAAGCAUUUAUAUUCAAGAAUUAUAUUAGCUGAGACAUUUUCCUUUUAUCCUGGUUUCUUUUUAUGAUAUUUUAAAAAUAUCUGGCCAGAGAUAAUAAAAUAAAUCUCACUUUCAAAUUUUUUCUUUUGCUUGUAAAAGGACAAUAUGAGAAUAUGUUUUUUUUAAGUCCCUUAUUCUUUUUUCUUGCCAUGUUUUAAAUGCAAAAUGUAAUAGCAUAUUUUUAGCUUGAUUCCCUUAUUGAAAUUUGGUUUAUAAACAAAUCAUUCAAUUUUCCUUGGACAUUUACCUAAACUCCCUCAUGCUUGCUUAGCAACGUCCUUUCUUAUAUGCUGAUUUCAAGCUCAUUUUACAGAAGAAUGUUGUUUCCUAAAUACUAAUCCUUGGAUGCCAUCUAAGAUUAAGGUUUGGAAAUUUCCCCUUGCAAGGUUGCUCUGAUAUAGCCUUCAUCUCUUGCUUUACUUAUGACAUAUUCAUUCUCUUAUGCCUCCUUUUUAUCUAGAAUAGAAGACUCUUUAGGGCUAAAAAGGAACCAUAGAAGCCAUCUAGCCCAUUUACUUCAUUUUACAGGAGCCCAAAGAGAUUAAGGAUACCUAUUCAAAUCAUCUGUCUUUGCCAAACCCAAUAUUUUAUGUAGUAAUUCAAACCUGAUACCUCUGAGUACAUCAGAACAUAGUACCAAAUUUUAAUUAUAAUAAUGCCACAAAAAUAUUUUCCAUUUGCAUAAUCUAGGCUGGUAACUUUGGAAAUGGGAUGCAAAACUACUGAUACUUCUUCUUCUGGCAUAUUUCAUGUAUAACCCAGUGUUGUAUGUAGGAUUUGAUACCAUCUAGAUUAAUAGUGGAAAUAUGAUAUGGUGUGAAGCAACACAGUGUCAUUCUAAUGAGUUGUAUAGAUGACCAUAAAGUGGGAGAAUAGAAGAUAUGCUUUAGGAAGAAGGUUAUUCUGCUUAAAAUGACCCUGUCCCCUUUAUUUUUCAGUUUAGACAUUCAUGUGAAUUAAACAUUGCCCAUUUAUACUAGCCCAACAGAAAGAAUCCCAGACAAGUAGGAUAACCUUAAAGUUACACAUUGAAUUUAUUUUAUACUGAAUCUAAAAAGAAAGGCAAGCUACAUGUAAGAAAACUACAAUUCCCUAAAUAAUCAUUUAAAUUUUUUAAAAUUAUAUAGUAGAAAUGCCCUUUUUUGGGUUAAGUGCAGAAUUAAAUAAAGAUGCUAUCUCAAAGACCUACAUUUACUAGCCAUUUCCUCCUUACUAUGAAUUUAGGUGAGGUGAGGUAUCUUGGAAUUUAAUCUGGGGUAACAAUCAUUGCGGAGCCUCUGGCAUGACUUGAGGGAGCAACCUUAAAUGUUUUCUUCUAUUUUUUCAGUCUUUUGACUUUGCUUUAUUAAUUCUUGCUGUUCUGCAAGGUCAUUGGCUUUCAAUUGCCUAAUUCUGGUCUUUAAAGACUGGUUUUCCUUUUCUGUUGGUCUGUCCUACUUUUCGUGGCUUCAGUUGUUUCUCCAAUUGGGAGUUCUUGUCCUUUAAACUGUUAUUUUCUUUUUGAACUAUUUCUUGCUUUUCUUGCCAGAAGGCUUCCAUCUUUUUAAUAAGCUCCAAUUUAAAUUCUUCAAGAGCUUGUGGACAAUUUCCAUUUUUUUUGGGAAGGUUUUUGUGUGUUUAUUUGUAGUUCCUCUUCUAUUUCCUCUGUAGCCUGGGUUUUUCCUCCAUAAAAAUUAUCCAGGGUCAACCCCUUCUUGUUGUUGUUGGGAAGUUGUUGUUCCUGGGCACUGUUUGCCGUUACUAUGGUAGUUUUUCCUUCCCUUUCCAGUCAGAAGUCUGAGUGAGAUGGGCAGGUUCUCUUGUGUAUGGAGCUAAGGAACAAGGAUUUUGCCUGAGGCCAGUUCUCAAAUCUCUACAGCUUUCACUGUUUGUUCCCCUUCUCUCCACGAGCACCCAUGGUCUGCGCUCUUCAGCUUGAUGGGGUUUCAGGUCUAGCUACUCUCAGGGGCAGGUCUUUGGUGGUCUUAGUCAGCUGCCAAGGAUCUAGAGGUGCCCUUCACUCACUCUAUAAGUACCCCUCGCUUAGUCACUGAUUCUAGCGCACAAUGGCUCUGACUCUGGCUCCAUAGGUGGGGUGGGGGAGAGGAUCAGCUCAAGUUUUGGUGGGAACUUUUUUACCCCUUUAUAGUGUGGAAAUGCCCAAAUCCCACAUACCUUCAAUGCUGUAUCUUAUUGUAGAGAUCCUUCGUUCAUAUGAAUUUUUUUUUUAUCUUUUGAGGUAGUCUAUAUUGGUAGGUACUGAGGAGAGGAAGAGUCCUGUAUCUAGACUGCCUCCAUGUUUACCAGGAAGUUUAGCCCUAAAUUAAAUGUUGAGUUUCAAAGGUAUGGCUGUGCUACAGUAGAGGUUUUUAAUUUGCCACAGUGAACAUUAGGAUGAGGUGGAGAGAUUAGAUGGAAGAGAAGGGAUGGAAGAAGUGGAGAAGUAUGAAGAGAAGUGAGAUGCUGCACCAAAUAGUCUUUGCCUUCUUUGUAAUUUUUGCCUAGUCCCUUGGCAGCCAUUGAAAUAUCAUACCAUUUACUGCAGUUAACAAUAUAUAUAUUAUUGCAUUUCAAUUUAUAAACUAAUACAAUUCAAUUCAGCAAACAUGUCUUAAGAAAUGACACAUUUCCUGUCCCCAAAGAUCUUACUAAUAGUCUAGUAGAAUAUAAUACAUGAACAUAAUGAUACAAGUAGGAAGACAAGACAUAUACAUAAUUAUUAUAUAAGUGAGAAUGAGAUCAGUAGUUUAGAGAUGUCACAUAUUUCAUGAGAGAUGUGGGAAAGUUCAGGGAAGGUCUUGUGAACUCUACUUAGCCUAACAAUAAAAUCAGGAAAUUGUGAAACUUAGAUUACUACACCCUACUUAGUCUAACAAAAAAAAUCAGGAAUGUCUACACCCAUACUUUAGUAUGGAGUAUCUAGGAGGAUGGCCUAUGACAGACAUGUGCUAGCAAAUGACAAAUCAGAAACAACUGAUAGACCGCUAGGCUGUCCCAAGUCAAGCAUAAGAUAUCAUUGGUAACAGGUGAGAUGUAGGAAAGUGAUGUAAAACCAUCUAUAUAUUUCGUGUCACUUCCUCGGGUCUCUAACAGCGGAGAGGUGGCUGGUGGCAGCUUGCUGAGCAUGUUGGCAUCUUGGCGUGGCGGCUGCUAUUGUCGGGUUUUAGCAGUGAGUUUUCCUUGAUACUAUACUGGAGGAAGCCUAGUAACCUAGUUCGGUGAGGCUCUUCUCUGAGAUCUCUUAGAGUUAGGCUGAUUUUUCUCUCCUUUACCUUCAAAACACUAUCCUCUUAGAGAAAGCCUCUAAUCUUCAAGGACCUUGUGGCUUGCCUGGCACAGGCCGGGCAGGAAAAAUCCUAUACUUUUCCCCUCUUUCUUCUUGAUUUCUUCCCAAUAUAUUGAUUAAACCACCAUAUAUUUCCAAACUGACUUGGGUAUUUUAUAUGGAAUAUCCCCUGGCAACCAAAAUCAAAUUUAGAUUAGGUCACAACCCUAAAUUAUCCUUACAGUCUCAUGGAAGAGAUGACUCCUGAACUGGGCCUUGGAAAAAAAAGGAUUUCACUAGACAAGAGAUAUAGGGAGAAUCUACUGUAAACAUGAAGGAACACAUAUACAACUCAACAGAGAAGAAUACAGAAUGAGAUCAGAGAACAGCUAAUGGAUCACUUUUUCUGGAACUAAAUAUGUGUAAAGGGAAAUAGUGUAAAACAAGGUUAGAAAGCUAAAUGUGACAGGCCUCAAAUGGCAAGAAAAUUUUUUUUAUUUUAUUCAGUAGGCAGUGGAAAGCCAUUAAAGGUUUUUUAUUUUGUUUUCAUUUUUUAAGCAGGAGAGUGAUGUGAUCAGAUUUCUAUAUUAGGAAGAUUAUUUUGGCACUGAUGUGAAGGAUGGAUCAUUAGAUGGAAAGAAGAGAGACUAAAGCCAGGACAACUAUGGUAAAGACAGAGAGAUUUGAAGUGAGGGAAAAGCAGGAGUUUUUUCAGAGGAACAUUUGAAAGAAUUGGACAACUGGUUGAAUAUGGUGAGUAAAAGAGAAGAGUCAGGAGAUGAAAAAGUCAAGCUGGAAUGACUAAUCAACAGAAAUAGAUCAGGAGGAUCUACUUUUUUUCCCCCUUUGAUUUAAGACAGGAUGAUGAGUUCAGAUUUAUAUAAAUUGGAUUUGAGAUGUCAGGCAAUUGAAGUAGACUUUUAGAGAAAGGUCAGGGUUAGAGAUAAAGAUUUUAGAGUUAUCCACAUAGAUAUCUAUAAUAAUAUUUGAAUGAAUUUAUAAUACAUAUAUAAUAUAAUUGAAUAAUCUAUAAAUGGGAAUAUAUGAGAUUUUCAAAAGAAGAGAAAAAGAGGCCUGUGCCAUGUCCAGAAUUAACUGCCUGAAUGAAGAGGAGCCAGUGAAGGAGUCUUAAAAAGAAACAGAUUUAAAAAAAGAGAAGAAAGAAGAAAUAGAAAGUGGGUAGGAAAAGAAUAGUAAUGGGCAUAUUGUAGAUGAAAGAGCCCUGGAACUGGCUCAAAUUAUACUUUGCUAUUUGUUAUCUAGGUGACCUUGGGACCUUUGGUCCCAGUUUCUUCAUAUGUGAAACAGAUGAUCCCUAAAGUCCUUUCCAACUCUAAGAUCCUGUGAUGUGGAAGCGAAGGGAGAGGCAGGAAGGAACUCCUGAUACUGUCAGACUCUAAAGAAAAGUCAAGAAAGAGGAGGACUGAAAAGUAGCCAUUCUCUUUGAAGAUUAGGCGGUCACGCGUAAUCUUGAAGCAAGGAGUUUCCAAAGAGGUCAGAAGUUAGAUUCUAGUGGGUGAAGGAACAAGUGGGUGGUGAGGAAGUAGAGGCAGUAAGGCUUGAUCAUUACUUUUUUUUUUUUUUAAUUUAGCAGUAAAGGGCGAAGAAAGAGAUGUUUCAAAGUCCUUUCACAGACAUCCUGCUGUUUUUUUUUGUUUUGUUUUUUUGAUGGCAACUAUCAGAUCUCAGAUACUGUUCCUCAUUAGAAUCCGGCCUAGUUGAAUAGCUAUGCAGACAGAUCACUUAUGCCCUCUCAGCCUCAAUUUUCACAUCAAUAUAAUUAAGAUAAUCAUACCUACAGUACCUAUCUCACAUGAACAAAUGAGGAGAUGCAUGGAAGGUAUUUUUAAACUUUAAAAUGCUAUAUAAGUCUCUGGUUAUUAUUACUGUAAAGGCAGCUAGGUGGCAUAAUGAAUAGAGUCCUAGGCUUGGAGUCAGGAAGACUCAUCUUCCUAGGUUUAAAUCUGGCCUUAGACAGUACCUGUGUGAGCCUGGGCAAAUCACUGAACUCUGCUCCAGUUUCCUCAUCUGUAAAAUGAGUUGGAGAAGGAAAUGGCAAACCAUUCUAGCAUCUUUGGCAAGAAAACCUCAAAUAGAGUCACAGAGGCAGACAUGACUGAACAACAACUGUUAUGACUAAAGCCCCCCUCUAUCAGUUUUUUCAUUUUAGGGAAGGGCAAAGCUCUGUGGUUUCAUUCUAUGGGGUUUUCCUCUCUCUUUUCUUCCUGCCUGCCAGGCAUUGCUAAAAUGUAUUCUUCUUCAAGGCAAGUAAAGUGACUAAUCUUAAAAAAAGAAAGAAAAACUUCCCUAUUAUUUGUAGUGCUACAUUUCCAACUUUCAAGAUUCUGAUUCUCUUCACACUUGUGGUUCUAGAUUUAAGAAAGGCUAGUUUCACAUAGACUAUUCUCUGACCAGAUAGUGCCCUCUUCAGGAUGAUGCAGCUAUAGUUACUGAGAUUGUAAGAGUCAAUGGGUGAAUGGAUGAAACUGAAAAGGGAACCAUUUAGAAACUCAGAAAUGAAAACAUUUCCCCCAGAAUUGCCUGGUAGGGGAAGAUCAGUUCAUAAUGGAGAAUCUACGGAUCAUAGAUUUGGAUUUGGAAGGGAUCACAGAGGCCUUCUUGAAGAAAUGCAGCUAGGUAGCAAUAGAAUCCUGCCAGUUUUGGUCUCCUCCUUCUGUGUUCCAGCUGGAAUCCAAGAGAAGGAGCUGCCCACAUCUCAUCCAUCAUUCCCUCUGGCUGGAUCUUCUAAAAGAGAAGUGUUGGAUAGUAGAGUCUAUAUAGUAAAACUUUAACCAAAAGCUAAAUCUCUUCAGAAUAGGUUUGUUAUUAUUAUGGUGACCAUAUUUCACAAAGUGAAAAUAUAGGCAUGCAGUCUGACUAAGGAUAUUCUUUGAUAAAAUUUCAUUAAAAGUUCUUGAAGUGAGGACUGUUCCAUAAGAUCUGAAAUGAGUGGUAAAUGUAAUAAUUCUACACAGCCAAAAAACAGUGCUUCCAGGAACUAAUUUUUGUAGAACAUUUUAAGUUCUGGUUUGUAGACACCAGUUUUCAAGCCUAGAUACCCCUUCAUUUGAGUGGCAAAGCUUUCUUAGAUGAAGUUCAGUGACUGAAUAUAAAGCCAUAAUGUCUUCGUCCUGGCUAAGGCUACCUUCAUUCUACUCUGCAUGUAUCCUGUAUAUACCUAUUAAUGCACAUAUUGUCUUCUCAAUAUGUUGGUACAAACAAAAUCAACACAGCUAAAAUUAGAAGAAAAAUAGGAAAUUGGAGGAAACAAUCUUUGCAGCAAGUUUGUCUGAUAAAGGUAAUUUCUGUAUUAUAUAGGGAGCUCAUUCAAAUUUAUAAGAAUAAGAGCCAUUAUCUAAUUGAUAAGAGAUCAAAAGAUAUGAAUAGAUAGUUUUCAGAGGAAGAAAUCCAAGAUAACAAUAGCCACAUUUUUUAGGAAGGUUCCAAGUCACUAAAAUUAAGAGAAAUGCAAAUACUACCUCACACCUGUCAAAAAAGGAAAAUGACAUAUGUUAGAAAGACUAAGGAAAAACCUACUUUAAUAUACUAUUGGUCGAGCAAUGAACUGGUCUGGGCUUUCUGGAAAGGAAUUUGGAUGUAUAUAUAUCUCAAAAACUGUUAAACCAUGCAUACCUUUUGACAUAAUACUAAAAUACAUAAAAGAAAAGACUGAUUUAUAAAAAAAAUAGUACCUUUUUAUUGGGCAAAGAAUUGUUAAUUGAGGGUAUGUCCAUUAGUUGGGGGAAUAGCUGAACAAGUUAUGGUAUGUUAAUGUGAUGGCAUACUAUUGUGAUAUAAGAAAUAAUGUAGGAGAUGGUUUAAGAAAAAACCUGUUAAUAUUUGUGUGUACCAAUGCAGAGUUAAGUGAACAGAUCCUGGAGAAUCAUUUGUACAAUGACAACAGUAUCGUAAAAACUUUGAAAGACCAUGGAAUUCUGAUCAACACAAUGACCAACCACAAAUCCAAAUCCAAAGGACUAAUGAUGGAUGAAACAUGCUAUCUUCCUCCAGAUAGAGAGCUGUGUGUGUCUUAACAAAUUGUGGCUGUGCUUGAAGCAUCCAUUACUGGAAGAGAUCAGUGAAAAUGUUGUACAACAUAGUAGAAGAUGAACCUAAAGAAGAGGAGGGAAUGGAGGGAAGAGAAUAAGCAUGUAUGAAACCAUACUAUGUGCUGGGAACUGUGUUUGUUAAGUGCUUUACAUCUCAUCUGAUCCUCACAUUACCCUUGGAAG